rnacentral:lncRNA from 1 species
UGACAUAUACCUUUGUCUAACAUCUGAGUAAUGUGACUCUCAUGUGUGGGCCCAGCACGCAUCAGAUGGGAUUGUUACAUACACCUGGGCCAAGCACUUAGGCGAUGUGACUCUCCUGCCAGGGCGAGCCCUGUAGUAAGGAGGAUUUUAACAUAUUGCUGUACUCAGCACCUAGGUGAUGGGAUUUUUCUUCCUGGUUCCUGCCCAGAGUUCAAAUUGUGACAUAUAUCUGGGCCCAAAACACAGCUGAUGGUAAGGAUUAUUACCCUUCCAUAUGGACACAGCCCAUUGUUGAGGUUCUGAAUCUCACAGCUGGAGGCAAUUGAAAGUUGGAUGUGUGAUUCUUAUACAUGGAUCCAGAUCACAGGGUAAUUUGUGACAUACUGCUGGACCCAGCACCCAGAUCAUUUGACUCUCCUGCCUUGGUCCUGCCCACAGAGGGCAUUGUGACAUGUGAGUGGGCUCAGCAGCCAGAUGAUGUCACCUUCCUGCCAGGACUCUUCCAACAGAAGGGGCAUUGACCUACUCAGGCUCAGUAUUCAGGUGCUGUCUGAGGUUUGGCUGUCAUGCGUGGAUUCAAGUUGCUGUUGAAAUUGUGAUGUGCAGCUGGGCAUGGUGGCUCAUGCUUGUAAUCCCAGCACUUUGGGAGGCCAAGGCAGGUGGAUCACC